AUUGAACGCUAGCGGGAUGCUUUACACAUGCAAGUCGAACGAGUGGCGGACGGGUGAGUAAUAUAUCGGAACGUGCCCAGUAGCGGGGGAUAACUACUCGAAAGAGUGGCUAAUACUGCAUACGAUUGGCUCGGCCGAUAUCGGAUUAGCUGGUUGGUGGGGUAAAGGCCCACCAAGGCAAGGAUCCGUAGCUGGUUUGAGAGGAGGACCGCCCACACUGGGACUGAGACACGGCCCAGACUCCUACGGGAGGCAGCAGUGGGGAAUGUUGGACAAUGGGGGAAACCCUGAUCCAGCCAUCCCGCGUGUAUGAGAAGGCCUUCGGGUUGUAAAGUACUUUUGGCAGAGAAGCGGUAUCUGCAGAAUAAGCACCGGCUAACUACGUGCCAGCAGCCGCGGUAAUAC
rnacentral:rRNA from 1 species